AAAGAAUUAGUUUAAAGGGUAAAACAGCUUUUAGAUAAAAAGUCAAAUAAAAGUUCGAUUCUUUUAUUCUUUA
rnacentral:tRNA from 1 species